CUAAGCCCUGGGGUUCCAAGGCAUUUCCACCUGCUGAUCAGCACUGAACACAGAGGACUCAGCAUGGAGUGGGGGCUGAGCUGGGUUUUCCUUGUUGCAAUUUUAGAAGGUGUCCAGUGUGAGGUGCAGCUGGUGGAGUCUGGGGGAGGCUUGGUCCAGCCUGGGGGGUCCCUGAGACUCUCCUGUGCGGCCUCUGGAUUCACCUUCAGUAGCUAUUGGAUGGAUUGGGUCCGCCAGGCUCCAGGGAAGGGUCUGGAGUGGGUUUCAUUCAUUAGUUAUAAUGGGGGUAGCACAUACUACGCAGACUCCGUGAAGGGCCGAUUCACUAUCUCCAGAGACAACGCCAAGAACUCGCUGUAUCUGCAGAUGAGCAGCCUGAGAGCCGAGGACACGGCCGUGUAUUACUGUGCGAGACACAGCGAGGGGAGGCCCGUGUGAGCCCGGACACAAACCUUCUGCAGGGGGCCCCGAGACCGCCAGGGGGCGCCCGGACGCUGUGCACGGGGCUGUCUCGGGGCAGGUGCAGGUGCAGGUGCAGCCAGAAAAUAGCAAAAGUCAGCUUUACACCUGGAGACUUCCUGUAUCGGUCACAGCCCAGGGAAAGAAGACCACUACAGCAUUAAAAUUCAGCGAAAGUAGACACAUACUCAGCCUUAGUGUCAGUGCAGGGAGUGCUUUCCGUGAGAUGGAUACCAGACAAAGAGGGAAACCAUGGGACCCAUUAAUGUAA